CGCCUUGCUAGCCCUUCCUCUCUCUUUCCUCGCAGCGCUCGUCCUUCUCUACUUGUCGCCCUCCCCGCGUUCUGCUUUGUGUUGUGUACUUCUCCCGUUCAACGGGCGCCAUGGUGGCUCUGACGACGCCGCCACCGCGGCCAGAGGAGACGAUACCAAACCUCGAUGAGGUGGAGGUAGCCUUCCGUGAGCUUCUAAAGCAGGGCGCGAGCCUGAAUAUGCCGUACGUCGCGGCGGCGCAGAACGCGCUGCAGGAGGUGCUCCGCGAACACGCCCGCCUCCUCACCUACAUGGAGACCCACUCUCGACCGAAUGCAGACGCAGCGUCGGCCACCGCGUACGACGACGAUGGCGAUACCGAGCCUGCUUGCGUGUACACCUUCCGGGUCAUGUACGACGGCGCUAUCACGGCAGUGCAGGAUAGCGUCGUGGCUGCCGCGCAGCGGGCGGCGGGCAAUUUCUUUCGCGCAAAGGCAUCGCUGGAGGCCUCCUCCUCGUCAUCGCUGACUGAGGACGCUCUUCAGUGCAUUGGGGUCCUCAUAGAGUCGCUUGGCUGGGCCUUGCAUCGAUCCAUCGCUUUCACUGGAGAUGCGCAGGGCUACUUGACAUCUAUGCAGCAGAAGCUCAGUGCCUUGUCGACGCACGCCAUGUCGGCGUUCGAGCCAGGCCGAGCAACACUGUCGUCGUCAUCGACGAGCCCCGCAACGUCGAACACCGCCGUUGCUGCCCUCGCCAUCGUCUUACCGGCCUGGCUACGUCAGGCAAACGUGGCUCUGAGUACACUGUCACACUUUGUCUCCAAGACGUACCCGCACGGGCCCUGGUUCGCGCACCACAACCGCCGCGCCGUCGAGCGCAGCCGCCGUCUCCGUCACCCGUCAGACGUUGGCGAGGCACCGUUCGAGACGCUGGUGCGCGCCGCCUCGCGUGUCCAGGACAGGGACGUGGAGGCGCUGUCGAAGGUGGUCCUGCGUGUCGCACAGGCGCACACACAGUGUCUCGCGGCGGUCCGUGCGACGAGCGAGCGACCGAGGGAUCGAUCAAACCUGGCCAAAAUCUUUGCGCCGCUGAACACGUCGCUGAAUGGGCUGACCGCCACGUGUGAGGACGUGAUUCGCCGCCGCGAAGACGACCGCCCGCACGCGCACGCGGUGCUGGAGGCCGGCAAUGUCUUCACGUGGCUCGCAACCGACUUGGAGCCGUGUGUCGUCAUUGAGGAAGCGUUCAGCAGUGCCAACACGUACAUCAAGAAGAUCACGGCGAGGGGGAACGUGCUGCUGCUGCAGCAGGAGAACGGCUGCGCUAUUGGACAGCGGGAGCUGGCCAAGGCGACCGUGACGUGGGCCGUGAUGCUGCGCGAUGCACUGGAGCGGAUGGUGCUACUGGUGCUAUACCGCUACCCGAGAGCUGUGCCAUGGGGAGAGUCGCUCGAGUCACGGAUGCCCCGAUACAUAAGCGAGCCACGCCCGCCAUCCGUCCCACGCGACCGCGGAGAGGCUGUGCCUGUCUGGCGCCGCUCACAAACAGCGGCCGAGCAGGUGGUGCGCCCUCCGACGCACCCGCCGUCAUCAACAAUCUCAUCCACAGCAGCGCCAGCGCCACCCAUGCCUCGCACACAGGGUGCUGUGGUGGUAGGAGCCAUGCCGCCGCCAAGCAAGGCGUCUAAGUUCGCUGAGCCGCAACCCACGGACGCGCAGCAGUCGAAACCGACGCCAGAGUGCACGUUCGACGCCGUCACGCAGACGUGGACGGUGCAGCACUACCACCAGCCCCUCGUCAGCCCCGCCUCCGGGGCGAAGCAAGAGCCGGUGCUCGUUGUGCUGCCAGAGGAGAAGCUCGACAGCCGUCACCUCGUCCGCAUCCUAGACUGCUUCAACACCUAUGUGACGAUCCCGGUGAAGGUGAGGGGAGUCGCUGUGGAGCGCUGCCAGAACUCGAAGCUGCAGCUGGCGAGCAGUGUUGGCCCGGUGCGGAUCAGCGAUACGGAGCGGCAGGAGGUGCUUAUUGAGACUUCGGCGCCAGGCGUGCAUGCGGCGAAGGUGAGCGGGCUGACGAUCCACCUCGCAGAGGAGUGCAACACACCUAUUGUGACGAGGAUGGCAUCUAACGUGAACGCUACGGUCACGGUGCGCAUGCCGGACGGCGAUCAAGAGGUGCGAGAACUGGCGCUGCCGGAGCAAUACAUCACCACUAUCAAGGAGGUGGACCAACUUGUCACCCGUGAAGUGACGUACUCCGGCUAGCGACAGCACCAGGGCCUCGCAGAAGCGGGCUGCUGGCGCGCUGAGGGAGGGAGAUAGCGGGUGAUCGGUUGCGCCAUGCGGCGACUCGCACAAUCAAAUCCACACUCUGCACGCUUGCGGACACAUGAACGCAUGGCCGGGCCGGCGUUCUUCUAUCGAACUUUUUUCUCGCUUCGUGUGCUCCCCUCCUCGCUUGCUGUCGCGUAUGCGUUCCGGACUCACUUGCCUGUCGCACUCUCCCCGGGAGCGUACGUACGCCGGUAGAAAGCAGGGGUGGUGGUGAGACGCGCCUUGCGUGAUUUAGAUUCUGUACGCGCCUCCUCUCUGAUGGCGGGUGAAGGUGAAGGGGGCGUGGCACACACACCCCUCUCAGCGCGUGGCACCUCAGGGACCAGUGCACCCACUUUCUCUCCGUGGGAGAGCCUGGCAGCCCCCUCCCCCAUCCCCUGCCAAGUGCCGAGCCGCUUCUGUUGGUGACGGGGUCAGGUACCUACGCCGCAGGGGGGAGGGUUCAGAGCGAUGUGUCGCUGCUGGUGCCGGCGGUGGCGUCCUGGAUGACGUUGCAUCGGAGUGGCCCGCGACAGCGAGGCAGAUCUGUAUCCAUCCACAUGAUGGGCAGAGCGUCAUCGUGACCCGAGCGUCUCCCACCCGGCCCGGCCCCUCACACCGCCCACUGGUGUGGGUGGGGUGCCCGAGCGCCACCGCGAGGGGGAUGCGCCCGAUGGCGGCCGGCAUGGUGGGCGCGGCUGCGCGGCGCCCCGCGAAGCAUGGGCUGUGGGCGUGGGCGGGGGCGGGGGCCGUGCUCUCCGAUGGCUGGGUCGGCGCGUUGCUGUGGCGCGUGUGUGUCCUACGGCUGCCAUCGGCCCGCGCGAGGUUGGGUCUGUGACAGGGGUCGGAGGGAGAGGGGGUGGCAGUGGAGGGGCGGUUGGACGUCACGUUGUGCGGCACUGAGGUGGGACUCACGUUGACGCAAGGAAAGGAGCGCAUACUUUUUCACGGAACGGAAUACGCGACCAGCAGAUGUGCGCGCUUAUUUUUCAUUACCUCUGCGCUAGUCUGUCUUUGAGCCACCGAGCUCGAGCCUGUGCGCGUGCAUAUGCGUGUGCGUGUUUGCUAUCAUGUCUGUCUCUCUAAGUGUGCGUGUGUGUGUGUGUGCAUGCGUGUGCCGUCCCUCCCCCCUCAUCUGCCCGCUCCCUCAGUCACCGUAUCGCAACGCGAGCACAAGACAUGCAACACGAGCACCGUGAAAGGCGUGCAUGUCGGUGGGGCGUGCUGGCACUUUAAUGGAUUCGGUGCGCGCACCCGCACACCCCCAUUCCCUCUCGAUAAUAUCUCUCGAUGCCUGUGUGUGUGUGCGCGCUCUCUUUUUGGGAUCCCCGCGCAGCACGCUUCCCGCACGCCGCAUUCCGAGGCGCACGGACCCCGGACACAUAGAGGAAGCAUGACGUGUUGCCGACACCCAAGUCCCCUCUCGCCUCCCCCCCAUCCCUCCUCGACAGCCGCACGCCCUCACGCGCGCUCUCUGUGCCUAUCUCACAUGGGUGCACCGGCACCCCCACCGCCGCCACAUCCCGCAUCCGCGACUAUCAGACCAGAACCGAACGCAAAGAGACGCGAACGCGCACGAGACGGAACCGCGGAACGAAGGAGGACUGUGCCGGCCAAGACGUGCCCCUUCUCCGAUUUUCGCAGCAUACGUCUUCCCCCACCUUACGACACGCCUUUUCGCAUGCUGCGUGUCCUCCGCUCCCCUCCCCCACGUCCACGCCAUCGUUCUCGACUUCUCAGCUGCUGACGCUGCGCCAUUUCGCUUCUCUCUCUGUCCUUCAUCUCGUCCCCUCUCUAUCAUGUACCUUCGCCGUCGCACCAG
rnacentral:misc_RNA from 1 species